rnacentral:lncRNA from 1 species
GGCCCAGAGUGCUGAAGUGCUGAAGCUCCUGUAGAAGGUCCUUCCAUGUGUCUUUCAGAUCCUGGGCUUGGCCUUCUCCAUAACCAUCACCCAGCACAUCCACUGGACUGGGUCUUGCUCUGUCAUCCAGACUGGAGUACAGUGGUGCAACCACGGCUCACUGCAGCCUUGAACUCCUGGGCUCAAGCAAUCCUCCUACCUCAGCCUCCAUAGCAGUCGGGACCACAGAUGGAGUCUUGCUUUGUCGCCCAGGGUUGAAGUGUAGUGGCACAAUCUUGGCUCACUGUAACCUCCACCUCCCGGGUUCAAGCAAUUCUCCUGCCUCAGCCUCCCGAGUAGCUGGGAUUACAGCGUGGCCAUCCAGCCUGCCCUGAUUUCUCCUGAGCAUACAAGUGCCUGGUCCACACGUCCACAAGGUAACAAGGAAUGCAUUGCCAAAUACCUGGCUGAAAUCAAGGACACUGACAGAGGAUGCAGGAGGAGGAAACGUCACUUACCCUCUGGUAAUACACAUGGGCCAGGACUCCCGCCACCAGCUCAACCAGGAAGAUGACGAGCAACAGGCAGAAAUACUAGCAGCAAAGAGAGAGGACGGUCACCACUGGGAUCGGGUUGCUGCUAUGACAAAUGUUUCCCCACAGUGGUGGGGGUGGUAGAGAUACCUGCUGGGACCCCUAUCAUCCAUGCCAUCUUCCUCCUGGAUGUACCAGCCUCACUGGCUGCUGGCACCAAGUUCCCCACUUACUCCUUCCCUCUUUGGUCUGCUGACAAUUCAGUACGGCAUGUACCCAUCCAAUAUGUAUUAAAUACAUGCCAUAUGCCAGA